GAUGAACGCUAGCUACAGGCUUAACACAUGCAAGUCGAGGGGAAACGAUGAGAGAGCUUGCUCUCUUAGGCGUCGACCGGCGCACGGGUGAGUAACGCGUAUCCAACCUACCCAUUACAGGGGGAUAACCUUGCGAAAGUAAGACUAAUACCCCAUGGCAUUUUAUGGUGGCAUCAUUAUAGGAUUAAAGAUUUAUUGGUAAUGGAUGGGGAUGCGUCUGAUUAGCUUGUUGGCGGGGUAACGGCCCACCAAGGCAACGAUCAGUAGGGGUUCUGAGAGGAAGGUCCCCCACAUUGGAACUGAGACACGGUCCAAACUCCUACGGGAGGCAGCAGUGAGGAAUAUUGGUCAAUGGGCGAGAGCUUGAACCAGCCAAGUAGCGUGCAGGAUGACGGCCCUAUGGGUUGUAAACUGCUUUUAGAGGGGAAUAAAGUGAGCUACGUGUAGUUUAUUGCAUGUACCCUAUGAAUAAGGACCGGCUAAUUCCGUG
rnacentral:rRNA from 1 species